CCUUCUCCCGUUACACCACAACACUGGCUCUGUUAUUGCCUCCUUUCCCCCAGAUCCACUGCAAAAGGAAAGAAGUCAAGGGCCAGGUAACAUGUCUCUCUGCAGGGGUCUCCUUGGGCUGGACCCUUGCAGGAGCAGAGACUAUAAGAGACUUUGCCAUCAGGCCAGGGUGUGAGACCUCAACAUCCCAGUACUCAUUUGUUGGGAUUUCCAGCAAUUCGGUGGGCACUACCUAGUUGGUGAUUUGGGUAGAAAAAGAGAAAUGCUGCAAAAGCCACGUAAUUUAGUGCGGGGUCAGUUUUAAUUUAUAUGAGAAGCUGCUGGGAUUCUUUUUCCUCAAUUCUUUGUAAUGUUCAUCCUGCAGACCUGGCUUCCCAGCUCACAAACAACUUCUGUCAACUCCCAGAUGUUGACAUGAGGCACCGAGAGGCACUCAAGCCAAAAGCUCGGAUUCCAAACAUCCCUGAACUCUGGAGAAGUUCAAAUCAGAGCACACAUCUUCAGUGGGAAGGGGAAAGCUGUAACGUGAUCCCAGCCCUGGGCAAUGGAGGGACCAGAAUUCUCAUAAUGCCUCAGCACCAGCUUGGGUUGCAGGGGAGGGUUGCACUAAGCCAGACAGAUAUCUUUGGGCAUUGGAAGUGCCAUGAGUGAGAACAGGAACAGCAGCAUCCCCACUGGAUACUGCUGGCUCUGCUUCUUCCUCUGGAGCACAAGCAGCUGCAUGUCGCUCCUCCAGCCCUCUGCCAGCCUGUGUCUCAGUCCAUCAGUUAGGCUUAUAAGCCUUAAGGCGAGACUUUAACAACAUUAGCAUGCACUAGCACAGAUGCUUUAUACACUUUAUAUCAAAAUACAGACUUCUUGAUUUACUUUUCCAGGUAAACUCCUUGGAUGUCUCGCAGAGAAACAGCCAACAACCUAGAUGGAUUUGCUGAGUGCUGUAUUAGUCCACCAGGUGUGCUGGGACCUACCAGCCUCUGCACACUCUGGGAACUGUGCUUUGUCCUGAACCUGGAGAGUACCAGGCUGCAGGUCUGGACCAUCAAAUAGGGUGGCUGCUCUCACCAAUAACAGAGGGUUGGGUUUUCAAGCCAUUGUCCAUGGCUGUAGGAGAAUGGGAUGGAACACCAAACGUGAGCACAUGAUCUGCAUUAGGGGGAGAUGCGGUGUGCUUGUGCCCCUCUCCUGAGCCAGAGGAAUGAGUUGCUGGAGGUGUCUGAGCUCCUGUCAGCAACUGUUUUUAUGGCUUUCAUGCCAUCCCACAACACCGCAGAGAGUGAAGGAUAACUUCCUGGCUCUCACUUCUUAAGUUAAUGAAUCCCACCACUAAUUAGCUGACAGUAACAUGGAGAUAUUCUUGGCCAUAGGUGGAUCUUACUGAGGUCAUAACGAUUGCGGGUAGUUUAAUUUAUUACUCUGGGAGGAGCGUUGGGAUACAGUGCAUGAAGACCACUUGGGAAGUGCCAAAGCAAUAUUACAAGUCAAGAUUUUCCCCAGUAAGGUAAUAUGUUCCAUAUUCACUGUGCCUCAGAGAAAUAAAGCUUCAAAGUAGCCCUGGCUCCCGUGCA
rnacentral:lncRNA from 1 species